rnacentral:rRNA from 1 species
GACGAACGCUGGCGGCGUGCUUAACACAUGCAAGUCGAACGGAAAGGCCCUGCUUUUGUGGGGUGCUCGAGUGGCGAACGGGUGAGUAACACGUGAGUAACCUGCCCUUGACUUUGGGAUAACUUCAGGAAACUGGGGCUAAUACCGGAUAGGAGCUCCUGCUGCAUGGUGGGGGUUGGAAAGUUUCGGCGGUUGGGGAUGGACUCGCGGCUUAUCAGCUUGUUGGUGGGGUAGUGGCUGACCAAGGCUUUGACGGGUAGCCGGCCUGAGAGGGUGACCGGCCACAAUGGGACUGAGAUACGGCCCAGACUCCUACGGGAGGCAGCAGUGGGGAAUAUUGCACAAUGGGCGGAAGCCUGAUGCAGCAACGCCGCGUGCGGGAUGACGGCUUUCGGGUUGUAAACCGCUUUCGCCUGUGACGAAGCGUGAGUGACGGUAAUGGGUAAAGAAGCACCGGCUAACUACGUG